UUUAAGCUGCUUGCCUCAGAAUCAUUGUCUGACUAUAACUGCAGCAUUUUCUAAGUUAGUCAUUAUUACACCAAUACGAAUGGACUCAUCAACCAAAAUAUCUCUACAUCGCUCUUCAAUGUGGUCAGGAGGAAGGGUGCCAUUGUCUAGAUACAGGGUAGAGGUUAGAGGUGGGUAACCAUGGGGAAGGGUGUCUAGCUAAAGGGUAGAGGUCAGAGGUGGGUAACCAGGAGCAGUGUGGGUGGAGGUUAGAGGUGGGUAACCAGGGGCAGUGUGGGUAGAGGUUAGAGGUGGGUAACCAUGGGGAAGGGUGCCUAGAUACAGGGUAGAGGUUAGAGGUGGGUAACCAUGGGGAAGGGUGCCUAGAUACAGGGUAGAGGUUAGAGGUGGGUAACCAGGGGCAGUGUGGGUAGAGGUUAGAGGUGGGUAACCAUGGGGAAGGGUGUCUAGCUAAAGGGUAGAGGUUAGAGGUGGGUAACCAUGGGGAAGGGUGUCUAGAUACAGGGUAGAGGUUAGAGGUGGGUAACCAUGGGGAAGGGUGUCUAGAUACAGGGUAGAGGUUAGAGGUGGGUAACCAGGGGCAGUGUGGGUAGAGGUUAGAGGUGGGUAACCAUGGGGAAGGGUGUCUAGAUACAGGGUAGAGGUUAGAGGUGGGUAACCAUGGGGAAGGGUGUCAAGGUAAAGGGUAGAGGUCAGAGGUGGGUAACCAGGGGCAGUGUGGGUGGAGGUUAGAGGUGGGUUACCAUGGGGAAGGGUGUCUAGCUAAAGUGUAGAGGUCAGAGGUGGGUAUCCAGGGGCAGUGUGGGUGGAGGUUAGAGGUGGGUAACCAUGGGGAAGGGUGUCUAGCUAAACGGUAGAGGUUAGAGGUGGGUAACCAGGGGCAGUGUGGGUUGAGGUUAGAGGUGGGUAACCAUGGGGAAGGGUGUCUAGAUACAGGGUAGAGGUUAGAGGUGGGUAACCAUGGGGAAGGGUACCUAGAUACAGGGUAGAGGUUAGAGGUGGGUAACCAGGGUCAGUGUGGGAGGAGGUUAGAGGUGGGUAACCAGGGUCAGUGUGGGUAGAGGUUAGAGGUGGGUAACUAGGGGCAGUGUGGGUGGAGGUUAGAGGUGGGUAACCAUGGGGAAGGGUGCCUAGAUACAGGGUAGAGGUUAGAGGUGGGUAACCAGGGGCAGUGUGGGUAGAGGUUAGAGGUGGGUAACCAGGGGCAGUGUGGGUAGAGGUUAGAGGUGGGUAACUAGGGGCAGUGUGGGUAGAGGUUAGAGGUGGGUAACCAUGGGGAAGGGUGUCAAGGUAAAGGGUAGAGGUCAGAGGUGGGUAUCCAGGGGCAGUGUGGGUGGAGGUUAGAGGUGGGUAACCAUGGGGAAGGGUGUCUAGCUAAAGGGUAGAGGUCAGAGGAGGGUAACCAGGGUCAGUGUGGGAGGAGGUCAGAGGUGGGUAACCAGGGGCAGUGUAGGUGGAGGUUAGAGGUGGGUAACCAUGGGGAAGGGUGUCUAGCUAAAGGGUAGAGGUCAGAGGUGGGUAACCAGGGGCAGUGUGGGUGGAGGUUAGAGGUGGGUAACCAUGGGGAAGGGUGUCUAGCUAAAGGGUAGAGGUCAGAGGUGGGUAACCAGGGGCAGUGUAGGUGGAGGUUAGAGGUGGGUAACCAUGGGGAAGGGUGCCUAGAUACAGGGUAGAGGUUAGAGGUGGGUAACCAGGGGCAGUGUGGGUGGAGGUUAGAGGUGGGUAACCAUGGGGAAGGGUGUCUAGCUAAAGGGUAGAGAUCAGAGGUGGGUAACCAGGGGCAGUGUGGGUAAAGGUUAGAGGUGGGUAACCAGGGGCAGUGUGGGUAGAGGUUAGAGGUGGGUAACUAGGGGCAGUGUGGGUAGAGGUUAGAGGUGGGUAACCAUGGGGAAGGGUGUCAAGGUAAAGGGUAGAGGUCAGAGGUGGGUAACCAGGGGCAGUGUGGGUGGAGGUUAGAGGUGGGUUACCAUGGGGAAGGGUGUCUAGCUAAAGGGUAGAGGUCAGAGGUGGGUAUCCAGGGGCAGUGUGGGUGGAGGUUAGAGGUGGGUAACCAUGGGGAAGGGUGUCUAGCUAAAGGGUAGAGGUCAGAGGUGGGUAACCAGGGGCAGUGUAGGUGGAGGUCAGCGGUGGGUAACCAGGGGGAAGGGUAUCUAGCUAAAGGGUAGAGGUCAGAGGUGGGUAACUAGGGGCAGUGUGGGUGGAGGUUAGAGGUGGGUAACCAUGGGGAAGGGUGCCUAGAUACAGGGUAGAGAUUAGAGGUGGGUAACCAUGGGGAAGGGUGCCUAGAUACAGGGUAGAGGUUAGAGGUGGGUAACCAGGGGCAGUGUGGGUGGAGGUUAGAGGUGGGUAACCAUGGGGAAGGGUGUCUAGCUAAAGGGUAGAGGUCAGAGGAGGGUAACCAGGGUCAGUGUGGGAGGAGGUCAGAGGUGGGUAACCAGGGGCAGUGUGGGUAGAGGUUAGAGGUGGGUAACCAGGGGCAGUGUGGGUAGAGGUUAGAGGUGGGUAACCAUGGGGAAGGGUGUCUAGCUAAAGGGUAGAGGUCAGAGGUGG